rnacentral:tRNA from 1 species
GCCUCUGUAGCUCAGUUGGUUAGAGCGCUGCUCCGGAAUCGCAGGGCCGUAGGUUCGAUUCUUACCAGAGGAC